rnacentral:rRNA from 1 species
UGAGGAAUAUUGGUCAAUGGGCGGAAGUCUGAACCAGCCAUGCCGCGUGAAGGAAUAAGGCCCUAUGGGUCGUAAACUUCUUUUGGCGGGGAGCAAUAAGGUCUACGUGUAGACCGAUGAGAGUACUCGUUGAAUAAGCAUCGGCUAACUCCGUGCCAGCAGCCGCGGUAAUACGGAGGAUGCGAGCGUUAUCCGGAUUUAUUGGGUUUAAAGGGUGCGUAGGCUGUUUGUCAAGUCAGAGGUGAAAGGCCGCAGCUCAACUGUGGAAUUGCCUUUGAUACUGGCAGGCUUGAAUACUGUUGCCGUGGGAGGAA